GUUCAAAAAGGCCACACUUUCGCUUCCCGUCCACCGGACUCCCCGAUCCGGCUCGUGUUUAGCGUCGGAAAAUGCGCUAUCAACUCCGCCGAGUACGGACCUCUCUGGCGAACCCUGCGCAAGAACCUCGUCACCGAGCUUAUAACCCCUACGAGAGUGAAGCAAUGUAGUUGGAUCCGCAAAUGGGCAAUCGAAAACCAUAUGAAAAGGAUCAAAAGUGAGGCUUUUGAGAAUGGGUUCGUGGAGGUAAUGAGCAAUUGCAGGCUCACUAUAUGUAGCAUCUUGAUCUGUUUAUGUUUUGGUGCAAAGAUCUCCGAAGAACGGAUUAAGAAAAUCGAAAGCAUACUCAAAGAUGUAAUGCUGGUAACAUCGCCGCAGCUACCGGAUUUCUUGCCGAUCCUCACUCCGUUGUUUCGUCGGCAAAUGAAAGAGGCCAAAGCACUAAGAAAGAGGCAAUUGGAUUGCUUGGCUCCAUUAAUAAAGAACCGGAGAGCUUUUGUUGAGAAAGGUGAAAACCCUAACCAAGAAAUGGUGAGUCCAAUCGGUGCAGCCUAUAUAGACUCACUCUUCGGACUAGAGCCACCAACCCGAGGUCCGUUGGGGGAAGAAGAGUACGUUACCCUAUGUUCAGAGGUGAUCAGUGCCGGUACCGAUACGAGUACCACGACAGUUGAAUGGGCCAUGCUUAAUUUGGUAAUGAAUCAAGAUAUCCAAGAGAAACUUUACCAAGAAAUCCUGGAUUGUGUAGGCAAAGAUGGUGAUAUCAAAGAAGAAGAUAUAGAGAAAAUGCCUUACCUCGAAGCCGUCGUUAAAGAAACGCUCCGGCGACACCCUCCGGGCCAUUUCCUCCUAUCUCAUGC
rnacentral:lncRNA from 1 species